UCAUAACGUCUCCUAAUUUUUUCAGUAAAUAUUAUUUUUUAGUGACAAAAAAAGUUAAAUACACUAGAAAUAACAAUUAGCAAACACAAAAAUAAUUUUUGAUGUUUAAUUAGUGAAAAUUAUAAUUAUAGACUACAAUUUUCGUUACUCAAAAAUAUUCCCAAAAGUAUUGUUUCAACCAUGCAAAAUUUGGAUUCAACGGCUGAAAAUAGAAAAUUAGAAAAAAAAACAAUAAACUGUGGAAUAUUGAUGUAUUUGAUAGAUUCAGUGCAAAUUCAUAACAGCAGAUGAUUUCAUUUUAAAAAUUAUUACCAAAGGACAAAACGAUUAACAUCCAAAUAUUCAACAUUGAUAAAAUCUGAUGACCAGUUAUGAUAUUCAUUCAAAAAGUUGCAGAACCCCUGACAUUUGAGGAGGAUUUAGUUUUGAUUCUAUCCUCGAUGGCUUGAGAUGUCACAUAUACUUCAAAGAUAAGGACAAAAGUAGAAAAGGAUAUCUCAUUUUGAAGGACACAGAAUUCUCCAUAUUCUCCAGUUUCAGACUUUUUAGAACUCGGUCUAUUUUUACGGUUAUUUUUCACAUUUUCUGAAUGGAAAUUUAACUUCAAAGUAGGGAUCUCCGAGGGCUAUUUAGUUUGAAAGAAUCAUCAUGAAGCUGAAAAUUCGUCAUUAAGCUAAUGAUUCGGACAGGAGUUUAAGGAGAAGGAUAUGUGUUGAAGGAGACGACGACGACGACGAAAAAAAAGAGAAAGAAUGGUCCUUGAGCGAUAAUAUUGUACCGCACGUUGAACACGCAGUUCAGAGAGGGACUUUUUUACACUCCAGUAAAUUAUGUAAGUUCUAAGAAGAGGGACAAUUCGUCUGUUUGCUGUCAUCGUAUCUUCUCCAUCACAUUGCGGAAGGUUCACAAAUUUAAGUCAUUGCUUCAACGUGGGAUUCAUCGAUCGUGUAUGUAAGCCGCGCACACACGAUGAGGAAUGGAAAAAGGCGAGACUUACUUAUCUGCUGCUCCUUUCUGGCAUAUAUUAACCCUGACGCGAUUCAAGGUACCAGUUAUGAAGGUUUGACUGCUGUCUCACUAUAAUGAAGAUGUUCAACUAUACACGAGGUUCUUCCGCUGUUCCAGGUUCUAAGGUUAAAACAUUGUGAGAGAGAGAGGAGUCCUCCAGCGCGAAAUGUAAUCAUCGAUUACUUUUAAUACUUGCAAGGGCCCAACAAAAAAAAAAGAUUCAAUCGUGGGAUUAGAAGUAGCUACGACAGCCUGGUUAUCUUUAUAGCCAUCGUGCCUGAAGAAUGUUAGACACGCGCAAUGUCAUUUCAUCCGCGCCACCACCUGCGACGAGAAUCAAUUUA